rnacentral:rRNA from 1 species
GACGAAGGAUGCAAGCGUUAUCCGGAUUCAUUGGGUUUAAAGGGAGCGUAGGCGGACUUGUAAGUCAGUGGUGAAAUCUGUGGGCUUAACCCACAAACUGCCAUUGAUACUGCAGGUCUAGAGUACAGUUGCCGUUGGCGGAAUAUGACAUGUAGUGGUGAAAUACUUAGAUAUGACAUAGAACACCGAUUGCGUAGGCAGCUAACUAGGCUGUAACUGACGCUGAGGCACGAAAGCGUGGGGAGCGAACAGG